CAAAAGAUUUAACAUUUUAUUUAUUUUAUUAAAUUUUAAUUUUAAAAUUAUCCUAAUUGUUAAAAGACAAUUAUUUGUUAAAAAGACGAUAAGACCCUACUGAACUUAACUUCAGUUUAACUGGGGUAGUUAAUAAAUUAAUAUUUUAAUAUUAAUAAAGAUAAAAAUAUCUAAUCAUAUUUAAUAUAUCAAGUUACCAUAGGGAUAACAGCGCAAUAAUAUUUUAAAGCUCUUAUUUAAAAAAUAGAUUACGACCUCGAUGUUGAAUUAAUUACCUAAUUAAAGCAAGAUUUAAAUAAAAAGGAAGUCUGUUCGACUUUUAAAAAAUUACAUGAUUUGAGUUCAGACCGGUGUAAACCAGGUCGGUUUCUAUCUUUUUAUAAUUUUUUACAGUACGAAAGGACCUAAUAAUAUAAUUAUAUUAUUAUAUUAGCAAAUAAGUGCAUUAGAAUUAGAAUCUAAUCAAACUU
rnacentral:rRNA from 1 species